GGCGGUCCAGGAACGUCCCACCCCGGCACCCGGAACCUCACGCCCACUCACUCUGCGCUCCGGAUCCUGCAGAGGUGGGCGAAGGCGCGGCCGUGCUGCCUCUCCCGGGCGCGCCGGGUCGCCUCUGCUUUCUGGGGUCUGACCGGCGUCGUCCCGGGCGCCACCGGCUCUCUCCACAAACUAACCGCAGCAAAGCGAAAGUACCACCCGGGAGAAAAGAUCUUCACCCCCGUUGAUUCACACACCACCUUCGCUUCCUCAGAAAUGCCCUUGACAGCAAUGGAAAGAAAGGGGACAUACUGCAGUCUCAAUUGUUGUGGGACUCAGGUUUUCUCUCAGCACUGCGUACACACUUGGCGACAUGGGAAGAAGGUCUGUUGGAGAAUGCGUCUCCGUUGAAUCACUUCGGCUUAAAGAGAUGACAGGGCAUAGAGGUGAAGUUGGUGCCACUCCUAUUAGAAAGGAGAAAACCGAAACUCUACCAGUGGCUGAGAGGCUCCCAUGGCCAUGGUGAAGUCCAGCUACAGCUACUGAUUACUAACUGCUCUGCUAGCUGGACAGCCCCAGCUGUUCCUUUUCAGGAACUGCUGACACACCACUUCAUUUCUAAGGC